UACGUAGGGGGCUAGCGUUGUCCGGAAUCAUUGGGCGUAAAGAGCGUGUAGGCGGCCCGGUAAGUCCGCUGUGAAAGUCGGGGGCUCAACCCUCGAAUGCCGGUGGAUACUGUCGGGCUAGAGUACGGAAGAGGCGAGUGGAAUUCCUGGUGUAGCGGUGAAAUGCGCAGAUAUCAGGAGGAACACCAAUUGCGAAGGCAGCUCGCUGGGACGUUACUGACGCUGAGACGCGAAAGCGUGGGGAGCAAACAGG
rnacentral:rRNA from 1 species